UACGUAGGGGGCUAGCGUUAUCCGGAAUUAUUGGGCGUAAAGGGUGCGUAGGCGGUCCUACAAGUCAGAGGUGAAAGGCUACGGCUCAACCGUAGUAAGCCUUUGAAACUGUAGGACUUGAGUGCAGGAGAGGAGAGUGGAAUUCCCAGUGUAGCGGUGAAAUGCGCAGAUAUCGGGAAGAACACCCGUGGCGAAGGCGGUUCUCUGGGACGGUACUGACGCUGAGACGCGAAAGCGUGGGGAGCGAACAGG
rnacentral:rRNA from 1 species